UACGUAGGUGGCAAGCGUUGUCCGGAAUUAUUGGGCGUAAGCGCGCGCAGGCGGCCUCUUAAGUCUGAUGUGAAAGCCCCCGGCUCAACCCGGGGAAGGGCCAUUGGAAACUGGGAGGCUUGAGUAUAGGAGAGAAGAGUGGAAUUCCACGUGUAGCGGUGAAAUGGCGUAGAGAUAUGGAGGAACACCAGUGGCGAAGGCGACUCUUUGGCCUAUAACUGACGCUGAGGCGCGAAAGCGUUGGGGAGCAAACAGG
rnacentral:rRNA from 1 species